rnacentral:misc_RNA from 1 species
UUAAGUUCAGCGGGUAUCCCUACCUGAUCCGAGGUCAAUCAAGAGAAUUAUGGGGGUCAAACGGCUGGAAUGAGUCCGGGUACAAAGCGAACGUUAUUACUACGCCAGGGACCAGAGACGUUCCGCCACGUUGUAUUUCGGCGGGGAGACUGUGCAUCACCACGGGUCUCUUCCACCACAUCCAAGCUGGGGCUCGCUUG